rnacentral:lncRNA from 1 species
GAGGCAUUUCCAGGUUCGGCCGCCGAACCUCAAGUUCGGCCGCCGAACAUUGGAUGGUUUAGGGGGGCAAGUUAGGCUUCCGAAAGAGGCAAAGGUUCGGCCGCCGAACCUCAUGUUCGGCUGCCGAACUUGCAUGAGUUUUGGAGGCACUUUAGGCUGCCGAAAGGUGGUCUGGCAGCCCCUAUAAAAGGGCUUCAUGGCCG